CAAAGAAUAGUUAAAUUAAGAAUGCUAGCUUUGGGAGCUAGGGGCGGGAGUUAGAAUCUCCCUUCUUUGA
rnacentral:tRNA from 3 species